rnacentral:lncRNA from 10 species
GUAAAGGAAAUACGUGAACAUUUGUUGAUUAUUAAUAUGGUUUGGCUGUGUCCCCACCAAAUCUCAACUUAAAUUGUAUCUCCCAGAAUUCCCACAUGUCACAGGAGGGACCCAGGUGGAGGUAAUUGAAUCGUGGUCGGGCGGGGGGGAAGGGGGUGGUCUUGCCGUGCUGUUCUCGUGAUAGUGAGUACCUCUCACGAGAUCUGAUGAGUUUAUCAGGAGUUUCCGCUUUUGCUUCUUCCUCAUCGUCUCUUGCCGCUGCCAUGAAAGGAGUGCUUUUUGCCUCCCACCAUGAUUCUGAGGCCUCCCCAGCCAUGUAGAAUUAGCCAGCCUGUUUUUGAUGAAGAGCAACUGUACUGGAGAGAAAGCCUGUAUUCAUAUUCAUCGUCAUCAGGCAAAUCGAGGAGCUGACUUGCUUAGGAUCACUGGGACCAUCUCAUAAUGUUUGUGUACAUUCCUGUUGUCUUCUACCUCCCAUCCACCGUGUCUCUCUACUGCCUAUAACCAGCCUACAUAAGAUAAAUGUGAUUGGAGAGGAAACUAUCCCCAAUUCUCUCUUCAUUGACAUUUGGGGCUGUACCAGUUUACAUUUUCACCAACAUUCCCACCAUUGUGGUGGCCAGCAACUGAGGAGGCUGAGAUAAGUGGAUUCCCUGAGCCCAGGAGGUGGAGGUUGCAGUUAGCCAAGAUUGCGUCACUGCACUCCAGCCUAGGCAACAGAGUGAGACCUGUCUCAAAAAAAAAAAAAAAAAAGAGUUAAAUUAAAAAAUAAAUAAAAGUCAUUUGACCAUAUAUGUGAUUGUUUAUUUCUUGCUCUCCAUCUAUUCUAUUUACCUAUAUAUCUAUCUUUAUUCCAGUACAAUGCUGUUUUUAUUAUUGUAACUUUGAAAAAAAAUUUUAAAAUCUAGAAGUGUGAUCUUUAACUUUUGUUCUUUUUCAAAAUUGUUU